UACGUAGGGGGCAAGCGUUGUCCGGAUUCAUUGGGCGUAAAGAGCUCGUAGGCGGUUCAGUAAGUCGGGUGUGAAAGCUCCGAGCUCAACUCGGAGAGGCCACCCGAUACUGCUGUGACUUGAGUCCAGUAGAGGAGCGUGGAAUUCCUGGUGUAGCGGUGAAAUGCGCAGAUAUCAGGAAGAACACCUAUGGCGAAGGCAGCUCUCUGGGACGGUACUGACGCUGAGACGCGAAAGCGUGGGGAGCGAACAGG
rnacentral:rRNA from 1 species